rnacentral:rRNA from 1 species
AACGUAGGAGGCGAGCGUUAUCCGGAUUUACUGGGUGUAAAGCGCGUGCAGGCGGUUUUGUAAGUUGGGUGUGAAAGCUCCUGGCUCAACUGGGAGAGGUCGCUCAAGACUGCAAGACUUGAGUAUGGUAGGGGAAGGCGGAAUUCCGGGUGUAGUGGUGAAAUGCGUAGAUAUCCGGAGGAACACCAGUGGCGAAAGCGGCCUUCUAGACCAUUACUGACGCUCAGACGCGAAAGCUAGGGGAGCAAACGGGAUUAGAGACCCCGGUAGUCCUAGCCGUAAACGAUGUGAACUUGGCGGCGGGCGGGUAAAACUGUUCGGUGCCGAAGCUAACGCGAUAAGUUCACCACCUGGGGACUACGGCCGCAAGGUUA